AAACAGGCGACUCCGCCCAAGUGACUUAAUGGCGAGGAGACGUCACCUCAAAAGGUGUGAAGCUGCCCCAAUGAGUUGAUGGCAUGGAGACUCCAUCUGCCAAGGUGUGGAACUGAAUCAAGGGUGUUGAUAGUGGAGACAUCUUUAAAGGUGUGGAACUGAACUAAGGCUGUGAAAGGUAGGAUACCUUCGCAUAACAUCCCUGCAGUCUCAGAACUGGACAUAUAGACUGGGGUGUUCCUAGUCUGCUGUUUGCUGUCCCUUGCUGAUUUUCAGCGCCCACCUACCCUUCAGGUGCACAUUCACCUGAUCACAAGUUAUAAUGAACCUUUCUAUACAUUUUCUGAGUUUUGUUCAGUGGUAAUAUUUAGUUCUGAACAUAAGUGGUGGUUCUCUCAUAUUUAAAAUGUGUUAAUGUUAUACUGACACAACCUAAGAUGUAAAGUAUAUGCCUUCAGCGUGUUCACGCCCCUUGACUGUAUUCCACAUGUUGGUAAAGCUUGAAUUUAACAUGGAUUAAAUUGAGGUCGUCACUGGCCUAAACACAGUA